UUUAGAUUUAUUUAGUACUUUAUAUGCUUCUUUCUCGUAGAUUUACAUAUGUUUUGAUGUUUUAAAUUGUGAGCUUCGUUUAUUUUAUUGGAUCUUUCUUGUGCAACACCAAGAAGAAUUUUAAUUUUUAAUUUGA